GUGCCAGCAGCCGCGGUAAUACGUAGGGGGCUAGCGUUAUCCGGAAUUACUGGGCGUAAAGGGUGCGUAGGCGGCCCUUCAAGUCAGAGGUGAAAGGCUACGGCUCAACCGUAGUAAGCCUUUGAAACUGUAGGGCUUGAGUGCAGGAGAGGAGAGUGGAAUUCCCAGUGUAGCCGGUGAAAUGCGUAGAUAUUGGGAGGAACACCAGUUGCAGAAGGCGGCUCUCUGGACUGUAACUGACGCUGAGGCACGAAAGCGUGGGGAGCGAACAGGAUUAGAUACCCUGGUAGUCC
rnacentral:rRNA from 1 species